CCAGGCUACAGAGGACCCCAGCUUUGGAGCAGUCACCUUUUUGCUCCCUAGGGACAAUAUCCUCCAUUUUCCAUUGAUGUUCUGCUCCAGCCCUGAGAAAAGUUUGUCAUAAAAGCUCCACCAGAGAGGUGCGUUUGAGGACUGUGCCCUCGGAAAGCUGCUCCCGCGCCACAUCAGACUCGCUGCCGAAUGCUAGGCAGAGAAAAUGAAAUAUGAAAAUGAAAUAUUAAAUUCAGCUGGGCUGUGAGUGUUAGCGAAAGGCUGCAGCUUGAGGAGAGGUGCUGCAAGGCGCACCUUCCUUGCAACCCUAAGGAUUCAAAAAUUGACUGAUUUCAGAGCUCCUGUUUCUGCGAAUUUCCCUCUGUGUUACACACACACGUGGUACUGAGAGAGAGAUGCACAACCUCUGUCGGGGCUUAAAUAUAUGUCAGAAUGAGUCCUCAUCCCUUCUGGGAGCAUCUUGCUGCUUCUUCUGGGGGUUUCUCAGACCACCAUCUCCAGCAGCACUAGGGACAAUGCAGCUGAGACUAUUCUUGCCCUUCCCUCCACUGCAGGGACCCUCUGACCCUCAACUGGAGCGACUGGAGAACCCUACGGGGAGCCCACAUCUCAUGCCUAUGGAAAAUCCCAAAGAGAUCUUUUGCCUGCUUCCUGCAUUUUAGCCAGCAUUUGUUGCCAAUAAAGGAAGAAACAGCCUGACAGAGAUAUAAAUAUCUUGAGUGAGAUAAAAGACACCUAAAUCCCAGUGACUUUCCUAUAAUGAUCCUAAGUCACCGAGGUGGUUUUGAAGAAGUUCUCCCGCAGUACCAGCACAGAUGUGAGGUUUGGCCUCUGCAGGAGGAAGAAAGCCGGAGUGCAUUACUCCACUAAGGGCCACUGCAGCUCCCCAUUGGCAUGCAUUAUUUAUAGCAGGACUAGCAGUAAAUUAGUGGCUGAUGAGCUCUCAGAUUGAGCCUUUGUGUUGGCUCAGUCCCACUAAUGCAGGCUAUGGAAAAUCCUGCUGCAGAGAAGUGACGGCCCGGGCUCUGUCAACAGCACUCACCAAAACUUCCCUGUACUGUUAAGAUGAUUCUCUGCUACUGUUUGCGUGAGCUGGAGCAAAAGGUGUCACUGUCAACGCCAAGCUGGUCUGUAUUAGUGCACGCUGGAUGUCAUUAGGCAAAGCCUUUUUUUUUUUGCUUGAAAAUAAUUAAA